rnacentral:rRNA from 1 species
GAUGAACGCUGGCGGCGUGCCUAAUACAUGCAAGUCGAGCGAACAGAUGAGGAGCUUGCUCCUCUGACGUUAGCGGCGGACGGGUGAGUAACACGUGGAUAACCUACCUAUAAGACUGGGAUAACUUCGGGAAACCGGAGCUAAUACCGGAUAAUAUAUUGAACCGCAUGGUUCAAUAGUGAAAGACGGUUUUGCUGUCACUUAUAGAUGGAUCCGCGCCGCAUUAGCUAGUUGGUAAGGUAACGGCUUACCAAGGCAACGAUGCGUAGCCGACCUGAGAGGGUGAUCGGCCACACUGGAACUGAGACACGGUCCAGACUCCUACGGGAGGCAGCAGUAGGGAAAUCUUCCGCAAUGGGCGAAAGCCUGACGGAGCAACGCCGCGUGAGUGAUGAAGGUCUUCGGAUCGUAAAACUCUGUUAUUAGGGAAGAACAAAUGUGUAAGUAACUAUGCACGUCUUGACGGUACCUAAUCAGAAAGCCACGGCUAACUACGUG